AUGAACGCUGGCGGCGUGCUUAACACAUGCAAGUCGAACGAUGAAGCCCAGCUUUCUGGGCGGAUUAGUGGCGAACGGGUGAGUAACACGUGAGUAACCUGCCCUUGACUCUGGGAUAAGCCCGGGAAACUGGGUCUAAUACCGGAUAGGAGCGCCUGUCGCAUGACGGGUGCUGGAAAGAUCUUUCGGUCAUGGAUGGACUCGCGGCCUAUCAGCUUGUUGGUGAGGUAACGGCUCACCAAGGCGACGACGGGUAGCCGGCCUGAGAGGGUGACCGGCCACACUGGGACUGAGACACGGCCCAGACCCCUACGGGAGGCAGCAGUGGGGAAUAUUGCACAAUGGGCGAAAGCCUGAUGCAGCGACGCCGCGUGAGGGAUGACGGCCUUCGGGUUGUAAACCUCUUUCAGCAGGGAAGAAGCGAAAGUGACGGUACCUGCAGAAGAAGCACCGGCUAACUACGUG
rnacentral:rRNA from 1 species